rnacentral:tRNA from 1 species
GGAGAGAUGGCCGAGUGGUCUAAGGCGCACGCCUGGAGAGCGUGUUUACGCCAAAAGCGUAACGUGGGUUCGAAUCCCACUUUCUCCG